rnacentral:rRNA from 1 species
AUUGAACGCUGGCGGCAUGCCUUACACAUGCAAGUCGAACGGCAGCACGGACUUCGGUCUGGUGGCGAGUGGCGAACGGGUGAGUAAUAUAUCGGAACAUACCCUAGAGUGGGGGAUAACGUAGCGAAAGUUACGCUAAUACCGCAUACGAACUAAGGUUGAAAGCGGGGGAUCUUCGGACCUCGUGCUCAUGGAGUGGCCGAUAUCUGAUUAGCUAGUUGGUGAGGUAAAGGCUCACCAAGGCGACGAUCAGUAGCUGGUCUGAGAGGACGACCAGCCACACUGGAACUGAGACACGGUCCAGACUCCUACGGGAGGCAGCAGUGGGGAAUUUUGGACAAUGGGGGGCAACCCUGAUCCAGCCAUUCCGCGUGAGUGAAGAAGGCCUUGGUUGUAACCGCUGUCAGAGGGAGUGAAGUAUACGGGGGUUCGUCCCCGUGUAUUUGACGAGAGCCUCAGAGGAAGCACGGGC